rfam:Oryza punctata chromosome 7, whole genome shotgun sequence.
CCUGCAGGAUAGUGUGUAUCGGCUUAACGCUUUUUUGUGCGUCUUGUGCCGAAAGUGUUUCCUGCUAUAUUGAUCUGGGGAAAGUGGGCAGUUGGGUUAAGCUUUUGUGCUUUCUUCAACAAUCAUUUUCCUCUCAUUU